GUCACAAAUUGCAGCAAACUCAUUUUGGUUCAAGUGACAGUCUUUCCACAAAGUAAACAUAAAAAUAUUUUAUUCUGCAUUUGGCUAGACCAGUCCUAUUAUUAAAAGAUAAGAUGUGUUCUGAGCGAUAUCUAAGGAAAAAUGUUAUAUUAGAACAUUUGUUUUUUGCAUGUAAUAGAUUAAUCGAGAAGAUUGUGCAUGCAACACGCCGUAUCCAGCCGUGCACUCAGCGAGAUAAUCGAAAUAGCUAAAGUAAAAUUUUGGCAAUAACUUGGUCAGGGUGCAAACCUGAACUUAGGAACUCGUGUUCAUGGACUCAGAAUGGAUCCUCAUAGGCGU